UGGCUCAGAACGAACGCUGGCGGCAGGCUUAACACAUGCAAGUCGAGCGCCCCGCAAGGGGAGCGGCAGACGGGAGAGUAACACGUGGGAACGUACCUUUCAGUACGGAACAACCAAGGGAAACUUUGGCUAAUACCGUAUACGCCCGUAAGGGGAAAGAUUUAUCGCUGAAAGAUCGGCCCGCGUCUGAUUAGCUAGUUGGUGGGGUAAUGGCCCACCAAGGCGACGGGGAAAAGCUGGUCUGAGAGGAUGAUCAGCCUCACUGGGACUG
rnacentral:rRNA from 1 species